UAGGGAAUCUUCCACAAUGGACGCAAGUCUGAUGGAGCAACGCCGCGUGAGUGAAGUAGGUUUUCGGAUCGUAAAGCUCUGUUGUUGGUGAAGAAGGAUAGAGGCAGUAACUGGUCUUUAUUUGACGGUAAUCAACCAGAAAGUCACGGCUAACUACGUGCCAG
rnacentral:rRNA from 1 species